rnacentral:lncRNA from 1 species
GAGCUGGAGGUGCUCUCUUCCAGCAGACUCCCCACUGGGCCCAAGGAAAGCCUGUGACCUGGGGCAAAAUGGACGUCUCCUGGAUCCUUGAGUCACCACGUGGAGAAGAACUAUUGACCACUCUUGCUGGGCCUUACAGAAGACUACCCCCUCACAUGAUGAGCCACAAAGGCAUCUGAGGAUGUCCAGCUCUCUUGGGUCACCCCAGAUCCACCUGAUGCUACAUUCCUGGACCUGGGCCUGGCGUCAAGUUCUGCUCUUGACACUAGUCAUCUGUGAGUUACCCCUCUGGACCGCCCCUUCUUCGUGUCUCCAUGAGCUUGCUCCCAGACCCCAGGGCAGGGCUAAUUCCAUCAGGGCUCUGGACUGGGGGUCAGUUGCACCUGUGCCCAAAAGCCAGAGCCAAGAAGCUGCAAUGUCCUUUGCUCACCACACUGCACUGGGUAGCACCUGGUGUACAGUCAGAGCACCAGGGUGAGAAUGGACAAGGGCCAACUUGGACUCCUAUUGUCUGAGGGGAAUGUGGCUGUCGCUGCCCUGAACAGGCAAGUCAGAGAGGAGCUGGAACAGAGGCCUGAUUUGGUUCCUUGCACCUGUUGGCACACCUCUCAAUACAGGGUCUCAACAGGAGCUCUGGACUGAGAGUCACAAUCAUUUAUACCCCUGGGUAAAAGUGUUCAAAAGAGAAAGGCUGGAGGGGACUCCCUGGCCAAUGACAAACACAGUGUCCCUCUUCAGGAGCUGGAGAAGCUUAGGCUUCAACAUGGAGAAACAUGUGUCUGUCUCAAGCCUACAUCUGCCAAUGUAGGCACAUGUUUCCCUGCCAGGGGCCAGCUGGAAGCUUCCUGGAGCUCCUUAUGCUUCUGGCCUCUUCAACUCACAAACUGUUCAGCAGGGCAAAACCCUUAACAAGCUGGAACAUAAUCAAAACUCUAAAUGCAUUAGGUCAUUUCUCCUGUAAUGAGAAAGAAAAAUCACAAUAAAACAAAUUCACAUCAAGAACAUACUGAAAGAACAGUAACAAUAGCCAUAUCCACAAAACAAUCUUAGCCUUGUCACCAGCGAGGAGGCAAUCUUAGGAUGGUGGCUGUAAGGCCAUCAAAUCCCCAAGGAACCGUCCAACCAUCCAACAAAAGAAUCAAUACUGGAGACGAUCGCUGUUUCCCAAGGCAGAGAGCAGACACAUGCAUCGUGCCUUGUCAGUGACGACGCAAAUGGAAACGCUUCUGCGGUCAAUCUUCAGUGAAUGCGAUGAUUUUAUUAACUGAUUCUUGAGUAUCCGGGCCCUCCUUAAACAUUCUGGUGAAAGGACAUUUGUAAGAUACACAAAGAAUUCACACACCCUACAUCUUGAGAAAAUCAGACGCUUCAUAUCCUUUGUGGAAAUGAGAUCGAGAACAAAAUAAAAUAUAAAAAUCUUUUAAAAUCCAUGAAACAAUAAGGAGACGAGAAGGGGAUGAGGGGACAAACAAAAAGAAAAGGGGCCACUUGCCUGGCGCUUUGGAGGCCUAGAAAGUUAAACGUGUCCUAAAGUCAUGGCACUGGCCGCCCUCCAAAAUCUGAGAGGCACCUCAAGGCAUUUGGAAGAAAGCACCACUUGGCUGGGAAAAGUGGUACCAAGGGAGGCUUUCAGGCCAGGAAUUACAGGGAAAGUAACAAUCAUGUUAAUCAAGUGCCUAGAAUUGGCUUCACACCGACUUUCUCUGAAACUAUUGGCCAAGAAUAUCUUUCAGUUUAUUUGCACAAUUGACCAAAAUUCCUUCUACCUUAGAACGUAUUAACCUGAUCUACUUGUUCUUAAGGUUCAGGAGAUCACAGAUUCUUUUGAGAAUCCAACAAAGCUAUGUACCCUUUCCACCAAAAAAAUUAUUGUUGGCACACACUUCUCAACGAAUUAACAAGGACCCGAAGCCAACUCAUAGACCCUGGUUUGAAACCCCUGUGCUAAAGUGGACUCCAUUUGGGACCCAGGGACCAAGGAUGGGCGCAGUUUCAUUUCCCGAGUUUCAAUAUCAGGGGCUGAUCAUCUACGCGAGGUGACGAGAUAACUAUAAUCAUAAGAGAAAGGCACCUUAGCGCCUCCCAAGUUUGCCCUGGGAAUUUAGCAUCCUCACUGGUUAUUGUGGAGGCAUCCAUCCAGCCUGGCCAGGGCCCUUUCUCCCAGGGGCCUUCAGGCAUUUACAAAACACCAGAUGGCACAACUCUUCUAGGCAGGUAUGGGACAGGACAACCUGUUAGUACUCAAAUCAGGGACUGUCUCCAUUAGGGGUGUGUGUGUGUGUGUGUGUGUCCAUGCAUGCGUGCACCUGGGAAUCUCAGGCCAUCUCAGUGGGCUGGUUGGGUUCAUCUAGACUCACCUGAGCCAUUUCUUCACUUUGGAGCAUUUCUCCAAAGAAAUUACGGGUAAAACCAACAUCACAAAUGAUGUAAUGAUUUGGCCCAGAAGUGAUCCUCAUCACUUCCCCU